rnacentral:rRNA from 1 species
CUAAGAAUAUUCCGCAAUGGACGGAAGUCUGACGGAGCGACGCCGCGUGGAUGAAGGAGGCCGAAAGGUUGUAAAAUCCUUUUGCGGACGAAGAAUAAGCGAUGGAGGGAAUGCCAUUGUGAUGACGCUAGUCCGUGAAUAAGCCCCGGCUAAUUACGUGCCAGCAGCCGCGGUAACACGUAAGGGGCGAGCGUUGUUCGGAAUUAUUGGGCGUAAAGGGCACGUAGGCGGUUAGAUAAGUCUGGCGUGAAAGGCAGGAGCUUAACUUCUGGAUUGCGUUAGAAACUGGAUAACUAGAGUCAUGGAGGGGGAGUUGGAAUUCCUGGUGUAGGGGUGAAAUCUGUAGAUAUCAGGAAGAACACCGGUGGCGGAGGCGAACUUCCAGCCGAUGACUGACGCUGAGGUGCGAAAGUGCGGGGAGCAAACAGGAUUAGAUACCCUGGUAGUCCGCACUAUAAACGAUGUGCACUAGGUGUUGGGCCGAGCGGCUCAGUGCCGAAGCGAACGUGGUAAGUGCACCGCCU